rnacentral:rRNA from 1 species
AUUGAACGCUGGCGGCAGGCUUAACACAUGCAAGUCGAGCGGAGCGAGGGUGCUUGCACCUUAGCUUAGCGGCGGACGGGUGAGUAAUGCUUAGGAAUCUGCCUAUUAGUGGGGGACAACAUUCCGAAAGGAAUGCUAAUACCGCAUACGCCCUACGGGGGAAAGCAGGGGAUCUUCGGACCUUGCGCUAAUAGAUGAGCCUAAGUCGGAUUAGCUAGGUGGUGGGGUAAAGGCCUACCAAGGCGACGAUCUGUAGCGGGUCUGAGAGGAUGAUCCCCCACACUGGGACUGAGACACGGCCCAGACUCCUACGGGAGGCAGCAGUGGGGAAUAUUGGACAAUGGGCGGAAGCCUGAUCCAGCCAUGCCGCGUGUGUGAAGAAGGCCUUUUGGUUGUAAAGCACUUUAAGCGAGGAGGAGGCUACUUAGAUUAAUACUCUGGGAUAGUGGACGUUACUCGCAGAAUAAGCACCGGCUAACUCUGUGCCAGCCGCCGCAGUAAAAC